GACGAACGCUGGCGGCGUGCCUAAUACAUGCUAGUAGGACGCACAGUCUAUACCGUAGCUUGCUACACCAUAGGCUGUGAGUUGCGAACGGGUGAGUAACGCGUAGGUAACCUGCCUAUUAGAGGGGGAUAACUAUUGGAAACGAUAGCUAAUACCGCAUAACAGUAUGUAACACAUGUUAGAUGCUUGAAAGAUGCAAUUGCAUCGCUAGUAGAUGGGCCUGCGUUGUAUUAGCUAGUAGGUAGGGUAAUGGCCUACCUAGGCGACGAUACAUAGCCGACCUGAGAGGGUGAUCGGCCACACUGGGACUGAGACACGGCCCAGACUCCUACGGGAGGCAGCAGUAGGGAAUCUUCGGCAAUGGGGGGAACCCUGACCGAGCAACGCCGCGUGAGUGAAGAAGGUUUUCGGAUCGUAAAGCUCUGUUGUUAAGGAAGAACGAGCGUGAGAAUGGAAAGUUCAUACUGUGACGGUACUUAACCAGAAAGGGACGGCUAACUACGUG
rnacentral:rRNA from 1 species